GACGAACGCUGGCGGCGUGCUUAACACAUGCAAGUCGAACGAUGAAGCCGGAGCUUGCUCUGGUGAAUUAGUGGCGAACGGGUGAGUAACACGUGAGUAACCUGCCCUUGACUCUGGGAUAACUGCGGGAAACUGUAGCUAAUACCGGAUACGACCCUCGGAGGCAUCUCCUGGGGGUGGAAAGAAUUUCGGUCAAGGAUGGACUCGCGGCCUAUCAGCUAGUUGGUGAGGUAAAGGCUCACCAAGGCGACGAUGGGUAGCCGGCCUGAGAGGGCGACCGGCCACACUGGGACUGAGACACGGCCCAGACUCCUACGGGAGGCAGCAGUGGGGAAUAUUGCACAAUGGGCGCAAGCCUGAUGCAGCGACGCCGCGUGAGGGAUGAAGGUCUUCGGAUUGUAAACCUCUUUCAGUAGGGACGAAGCGAAAGUGACGGUACCUAAAGAAGAAGCACCGGCUAACUACGUGCCAGCCGCCGCGGUAA
rnacentral:rRNA from 1 species